rnacentral:rRNA from 1 species
UACGGGGGGGGGCAAGCGUUGUUCGGAAUUACUGGGCGUAAAGGGCGCGUAGGCGGUUGGAUAAGUCAGCUGUGAAAACCACGAGCUUAACUCGUGGCCUGCAGUUGAGACUGUCUGGCUUGAGUGUGGGAGAGGAGAGUGGAAUUCCUGGUGUAGCGGUGAAAUGCGCAGAUAUCAGGAAGAACACCCGUGGCGAAAGCGGCUCUCUGGAACGGUACUGACGCUGAGACGCGAAAAGCGUGGGGGAGCGAACAGG